UGCUCAAAGUGGUUUAUCACAAUAAGUGACAAUGCUACCACAAGAGAUAGAGAAAAUGUCCUGAUAAUAUAUGAUGUCCUAGUUUUAGUUUUUCUUGAGACCCUUCUUAUAGUGGGACAUUCUUUUAUCUCUUGUGUUUGUAAGUUAAUAAACCUGUCAUCCUCAUAAGCUAGUUUUGGUUUGGAUAUAAUCCAUUUUAUAACUAAUAAUCUUGAUUAAUGUAGAAAUAUGAUACUUGAAACUGGAGUGCUGUAAAUUACAGAUUAUAAAAAUGAUGAGUUAAGAAGAGGGAAGGAAAAUGAACAUCUCUUUAUCUGGGGUAAAUGUUGUCCCUUUUAUGUAGUAGUGUGGUGGACAAAGUCUGAGAGGGUCCCCAUGUUCUUCACCUCCUUAUGUUCAGACCUUGAGUAGGUAAGACUUCUGACUUGCUUCUGACCAAUACAAUAUGGCAAAGAUGAUGGGACAUUGCUUUCAUGAUUACAUUAUGUCAUACAAAGCUCUUUCAAUAUUUCAUUUUCUUUAUUUCAUGCUGGCUUUGAAAAGAAGCUGUAUGUUAUGACAGGGCCAAUGAAGAAGGUCAGAUGUGAAGGGACUGUAGGCAACCUCUGAGACCUUAGGGUGGCUUCCACCAAUAACCAUUAAGAAACUGGGACUCUCUGUAUUGAAUUAUGCUAAUAAUAAAAGUGACUUUGAAAGAGGAUUUAUCACCAUUUGAAUCUCCAGAUAAGAACCAAUCCCUGAGAGAAACCAUGACUGCAGCCUAUUGAGGACACAGUUGAGCCAUGCCCAGAUUCUUGACCAACAGAAGCUGUGAGAUAAUAAUUGGGUGCUGUUUUAAUUUGGUUUUUAAUUUGUGAUACUUUUUAUUCAGCAAGAAAAAUUAAUAUGAGUAAACAGAGGUAGGGAAGAAACAAUGGACUGUUUGUUAUUGGAGUGGGGUACUUCUCCCCAAUUCUAGAUGCUUCUUUUCAUUCAGAGAUGGCAUUUCCCACUAUAUCACCUCAGUCUUCUUCUAGCCUCAUUUACUUCUCUCUAAAGGAGGUGUGGGCAAGGGAUGGCAUGUGUAAUUGGUAAAUUUUCCAAGAAAAACUGAACUAAUAUAUUCCAAGACCUUCUUUUACCUUCCUCUUAGUAGCAAGUUGCUCUUCAGUUAGCACAUGCUCUCUGUUUCUCCAGAGGCAGGAGAAGCAUGAGGUCAUUUCUACUCUAUUUUCCAGUAGUUCAUUAUGGGGGUUAUUGUCUUCAUUCUCAUGAGUGCUGAAUAUUAAUGCACUGUUUGAAUUUUGAUAUUUUAUAGGCAACAUCUAGUCAUUCUCUUCUAAGUAAUCAGUAAUGAAUUUGCUUUUCAUACAUUUACCAUCAUUGCAAAAUUCUUCCUUUAUUAUUUUCUAUUCUUGUAUUUCAACUGUAUUUCUUU
rnacentral:lncRNA from 1 species